AAUCUUUUUUACUCUUAAUCGUCUUAACAAUUGGGUUUUCAAACAAUUCUCUUGUUUUCUAUUGUUAAUUGUUUUAACCCUCUAAUCACCUUGAUUUUUAAUCUUUCAAUUUUUUUCUACCUUUCCAAGUCCAAUGAAAUCUUUCAACUUUCCAUGGAUCAAAUAUUCUGGUAAUUAGAUUGACGUGUUGACUUGGUUUUCGGUUUUUGGUUACCUUUCCCACCCAAACGUUUUUCUCUGUUCCUCUUUUUUUUCCUUCACAAUCUCAAUAUCAAGAGAGUUACAAUUUCCUCUCUCUCUCUCUCACACACACACACCGAUUCAUUUAGAAAAUUCUGCUUGGUGUAUGUGUGUGUCUCAUCUCCUAUGGCUGUGAUCACCUCAAAGGAUGUUAUCAACCUUUACAGGUCACUUUUACGAUAUGGUUAUAAUCUAGAAUUAUCGGAUAAAAAGUUUUACUUGAAGCGAGUUAGAAACGAGAUCAGAAAGAACCGAGAUUUAUCAAAACCUGAAGAAAUUGAAUACGCUUACCAGAAGGGAUUAACUUUCUUAAAAAAUGAGAGGCUUUUGUGAGAAAAAAAAACAAUGUCCUACUCUCAGUAAAUCUUGAUGAUAUUUCCAAGAUAAACUUGUAUCUAUUUUGAUCCUAAAUUGAUUCUAAUAAUUAGUUUACUUCUUUAACUCAAACCAUUAUAACUCAUCGGAAAUCAUCAUCAACCUGUUUUUAACCUCACAAUUUGCUCAUGUUGAAUUUACCUUCAUGAUUAGUGAAACAUUUGUGCCUAUCAUUUCAACAUCUAAUUUCUGUAUAUUUAACACACCACCAAUCUAAUUGUAAAAGAAAAACAAUCAACCAUUUAA